UGCAGAAUCCCGUGAACCAUCGAGCCUUUGAACGCAAGUUGCGCCCGAAGCCUUUAGGCCGAGGGCACGCCUGCCUGGGCGUCA
rnacentral:rRNA from 1 species